GACAGAGGUGGCAAGCGUUGCUCGGAUUCACUGGGCUUAAAGGGCGCGUAGGCGGCUUUGUAAGUCCGAGGUGGAAUUCCACAGCUUAACUGUGGAACUGCCUUGGAAACUGCAAGGCUUGAGUCAGGUAGAGGGAGGCGGAAUUCCCGGUGUAGCGGUGAAAUGCGUAGAUAUCGGGAGGAAGGCCGGUGGCGAAGGCGGCCUCCUGGGCCUGCACUGACGCUGAGGUGCGAAAGCGUGGGGAGCAAACAGG
rnacentral:rRNA from 1 species